AGCCUUUGGUUCCUGAGCGCGAUCAUGGGUGUUCAUGCCUUACGCAUGAGAUGUGCCUCCCUCAAACCUUAUUAUGAUGUGGGCACCACAUUACCUGUCUGACA